rnacentral:tRNA from 1 species
GCUCCCAUGGCAUAGUGGUCACUGCACUCGCCUUGCACGUGGGAAAACUGGGUUCGAUUCCCAGUGAGGUCA